CAAUAGCGUAUAUUAAAGUUGUUGCAGUUAGAACGCUCGUAGUCGGAUUUCGGGGCGGGCCGACCGGUCUGCCGAUGGGUACGCACUGGUCGGCGCGUCCUUCCUUCCGGAGACCGUGCCUACUCUUAACUGAGCGGGGGCGGGAGACGGAACGUUUACUUUGAAAAAAUCAGAGUGUUUCAAGCAGGCAGUGCGCUCUUGCAUGGAUUAGCAUGGGAUAAUGAAAUAGGACUUUGGUGCUAUUUUGUUGGUUUCGAACACCGAAGUAAUGAUUAAAAGGGACAGUCAGGGGCACUCGUAUUCCGCCGAGAGAGGUGAAAUUCUCAGACCAGCGGAAGACGAACCACUGCGAAANCANNNGCCAGGGAUGUUUUCACNGA
rnacentral:rRNA from 1 species